rnacentral:rRNA from 1 species
GACGAACGCUGGCGGCGUGCCUAAUACAUGCAAGUCGAACGCUUUUUCUUUCACCGGAGCUUGCUCCACCGAAAGAAAAAGAGUGGCGAACGGGUGAGUAACACGUGGGUAACCUGCCCAUCAGAAGGGGAUAACACUUGGAAACAGGUGCUAAUACCGUAUAACACUAUUUUCCGCAUGGAAGAAAGUUAAAAGGCGCUUUUGCGUCACUGAUGGAUGGACCCGCGGUGCAUUAGCUAGUUGGUGAGGUAACGGCUCACCAAGGCAACGAUGCAAAGCCGCCCGGAAGGGGUGAUCGGCCACACGGGGACUGAGACACGGCCCAGACUCCUACGGGAGGCAGCAGUAGGGAAUCUUCGGCAAUGGACGAAAGUCUGACCGAGCAACGCCGCGUGAGUGAAGAAGGUUUUCGGAUCGUAAAACUCUGUUGUUAGAGAAGAACAAGGAUGAGAGUAGAACGUUCAUCCCUUGACGGUAUCUAACCAGAAAGCCACGGCUAACUACGUGCCAGCAGCCGCCGUAA